GCGAGAGUCCUCUCUGGGUAGGCGGCGGGCGCGGAGUCAUGGAUUCGGCUUCGUGCGGAUUGCUGGCUUCAGCCGGCGUGUGACGAGCCGUGGGAUCCAGCUCUGUGGAAAACACAAAGCAAACCUGGGAGAGUGGUGAACAGAUGGAUGAGGGACAAAAUCAUGUCCGUUUCUCAAUCUUGAGAACUGCCCAAGGUGACUCUACUUCUCGCUCUCCUUCAGUAACCUCAAAUCUGGAGGAAGUAAAUGAUAUGUACUGAAAGCCCCAUGGUUACUUUUGGAAUGGUCUACUAGAUUUGACCAGUGCUGGAGAGUAUUCAGUGGAUGAUUUGCAGUUACAUCUGCUAAGUACGCGGGCCUCUCACUGUUGCGGCCUCGGACGCGCAGGCUCAGCGGCCAUGGCUCAUGGGCCCAGCUGCUCCGCGGCAUGUGUGAUCCCCCCGGACCGGGGCAUGAACCCGUGUCCCCUGCAUCGGCAGGCGGACUCUCAACCACCGCGCCACCAGGGAAGCCCUUCCCUCCCUUUUUAUUCAGUUACCUCCUACUCAUCUUCAAGAGCUCAUCUCUAGAGACAUUUUUCAAGGGAUGCCAUGAUAGACUGAAAAGUCCUUGCAAGAAAGGUGGUGUGGGGAGACCUUCAAGAUGGCGGAGGAGUAAGAUGUGGAGAUCACCUUCCUCCCCACAAAUACAUCAGAAAUACAUCUACACGUGGAACAACUCCUACAGAACACCGACUGAACGCUGGCAGAAGAACUCAGACUUCC